rnacentral:tRNA from 1 species
GGGCCAGUAGCUCAGCCAGGUCAGAGCGGCAGUCUUAUAAAUUGCACUAGGGGGCAAAAGAAUCUGAUAGCAUAGAAUGGGGGCUCCCAACUCCGAAUCUCCCCUGGCCCA